UACAGAGGGCUCAAGCGUUGUUCGGAUUCAUUGGGCGUAAAGGGUGUGUAGGUGGCGCCGUUAGUCGGGUGUGAAAUUUCGGAGCUUAACUCCGAAACUGCAUUCGAUACUGCGGUGCUUGAGGACUGGAGAGGAGACUGGAAUUCAUGGUGUAGCAGUGAAAUGCGUAGAGAUCAUGAGGAAGACCAGUGGCGAAGGCGGGUCUCUGGACAGUUCCUGACACUGAGACACGAAGGCCAGGGGAGCAAACGGG
rnacentral:rRNA from 1 species